UGCCGGGUGGUGUAAUGGCAGCACAGGGGUCUUUGGAGCCCUUAGUUCAGGUUCGAGUCCUGGCCUGGCAG
rnacentral:tRNA from 1 species